UACAGAGGGUGCGAGCGUUAAUCGGAAUUACUGGGCGUAAAGCGUGCGUAGACGGUUAUUUAAGUCGGGUGUGAAAGCCCCGGGCUCAACCUGGGAAUUGCAUUCGAGACUGAAUAGCUAGGGUACGGUAGAGGGAAGCGGAAUUUCCGGUGUAGCGGUGAAAUGCGUAGAUAUCGGAAGGAACAUCAGUGGCGAAGGCGACUAUCUGGGCCAACACUGACACUGAGGCACGAAAGCGUGGGGAGCAAACAGG
rnacentral:rRNA from 1 species